AAAACAUAGCCCUAAGAACUUAUUUAGGGUUAUGCCUGCCCAGUGUACAUCAUAAACGGCCGCGGUACCCUGACCGUGCUAAGGUAGCAUAAUCAUUUGGCUUUUAAUUGGAGUCUGGUAUGAAAGGUUUUACGGAUUAUUACUGUCUAUAUUCUAUUUAUUUAAACUUACUAAAAAGGUGAAAAGGCCUUUAAAAGAUAAAAGACGAGAAGACCCUUAGAGUUUAGAUAUAUUUUGUUGGGGCGACAAAGGACCACAAAACGUCCUUAUAUCCAUAUGUCGACUUUUGUUUAUUUAGAUAAACUACCUUAGGGAUAACAGCAUAAUUUAUUUUAAGAUUGUGACCUCGAUGUUGGACUGGGAAGCUAUAUGGCUAGCUGCCAUAUUGCGGAUUCUGUUCGAAUUUUUACUCCCACGUGAUCU
rnacentral:rRNA from 1 species